GUCAUCAUCCCCCACAGCCGAUUAUGGUCACCAUACUACCAUGUGACUGGAAUAAUUUGUCUGACACCUUUAUUGUCUUCUCGUAAAUAGCCUUUACAAUUAGUAAUUGUACAAUUUAAAGCGUAGGUAGGUCAUGCGAUACGCCAAAUCUUCGUAGUGUACUAGCUCCAGCAGAAGGCGCCAUAUCCGUACCUGAAAAUCUGCACCCCAGAGCCUGACUGGCAGAGGACCUGAGCCCUAGGACCAUGCUUCAGGACUACCUGGCAUGAUGACUCCUUGCUGUCCCCAGUCCACCUGGCCGUGCUGCUGCUCUAGUUUCAACUGUCCUGCCUGCGGCUAUGGAACCCUGACCUGUUCACCGGACGUGCUACCUGUCCCAGACCUGCUGUUUUCAACUCUCUAGAGACAGAAAGAGCGGUAGAGAUACUCUCAAUGAUCGGCUAUGAAAAGUCAACUGACAUUUACUCUUGAGGUGCUGACUUGUUGCACCCUCGACAACUACUGUGAUUAUUAUUAUUUGACCAUGCUGGUCAUUUAUGAACAUUUGAACAUCUUGGCCAUGUUCUGUUAUAAUCUCCACCCGGCACAGCCAGAAGAGGACUGGCCACCCCUCAUAGCCUGGUUCCUCUCUAGGUUUCUUCCUAGGUUUUCCUAGUUACCGUGCUUCUAUACCUGCAUUACUUGCUGUUUGGGGUUUUAGACUGGGUUUCUGUACAGCACUUUGAGAUAUCAGCUGAUGUAAGAAGGGCUAUAUAAAUACAUUUGAUUUGAUAUAAGAACAAUUCUGAAUGGGUCUCUGAAGUAUCCAUUCUAACCACGAGAGACUUUAUGGGAGCACAGAGACACGGACGGAUGAACUUUCCAACAGAAAGAUGGACGAUUCCAACAGAGAUCACAACGACACACUGAGCGUAAAUAUGUAUUGAUUGCAAUUAUUCCCAAAUGAGUGAGCGUUGCUGUGCAAAGGAUUAGCAUUUCAAUCAAUAUAAUUAUCAACUGUGUAGUGACUCUUAUAAUUCUCGCCCUUCUCAGUCCACACCCACAACCCUUUGUCCACCAAGCCGUCAAAUCAGCUUAGCCCACUAGGGAUCAUUUCCUUGUAACCAUAUCUACUGUUUGUUUGUUUAUGCAUUUCUGUGAUUAUAUAGUUAGUUAGUAAAUAAAUGAUUAAGACAAUUGAUGUAUGGAUGAUUCAUAGUAAAGGCUGGCUUCGUGCAGAUAACCAACGAUUUACGACUUCGGAAUGAGACUAACGUGAGGUAAAGAAUAAUUCAUUAAUUAGAAGACUAAUUGAUCAGAUAUUAAAAUAUCUGAAGAGUUAUAUUAGGAAAAUUAUAACUUUGCAAUCUGAAGAUUUUCAUUGGUGCCCCGACUUCCUAGUUAAUUACAUUUACAUGAUUAGUUUAAUCACGUAAUAAUAAUUACAGAGAAUUGAUUUGAUAAAAUAACAGUUCAAUUUAAUGAUGCCAAAGACACGACGCCACAGUAAAACGAGUCCUAUAUCGACAUAACCUGAAAAGCCCCUCAGCAAGGAAGAAGCCACUGCUCCAAAACCAUCAUAAAAAAGCCAGACUACGGUUUGCAACUGCACAUGGGGACAAAGAUUGUACUUUUUGGAGAAAUGUCCUCUGGUCUGAUGAAACAAAAAUAGAACUGUUUGGCCAUAAUGACCAUCGUUAUGUUUGGAGGAAGAGGAG
rnacentral:lncRNA from 1 species